rnacentral:rRNA from 1 species
AAUGAACGUUGGCGGCGUGGAUUAGGCAUGCAAGUCGAACGGGCUCGGCUUCGGCCGGGCCAGUGGCGCAAGGGUGAGUAAGGCGACGGUAACCAACCCCAUGGUCGGGUAUAGCCGCGGGAAACUGCGGGUAAUCCCCAGCGACGCGGGUCGUCGGCAUCGACGGCCCGCCAAAGCCCCGGCGCCGUGGGACGGGCCGUCGUGGUAUUAGCUAGUUGGCGGGGUAACGGCCCACCAAGGCUGUGAUGCCUACCGGGCGUGCGAGCGUGGCCCGGCACACUGGGACUGAGACACUGCCCAGACUCCUACGGGAGGCUGCAGUCGAGAAUCUUCGGCAAUGGGCGCAAGCCUGACCGAGCGACGCCGCGUGGAGGACGAAGGCCUUCGGGUUGUAAACUCCUGUCGAGGGGGAGGAAGGCGCAAGCUUGACCGAUCCCUGGAGGAAGCACGGGCUAAGUUCGUGCCAGCAGCCGCAGCAGUAAAAC